CGGGAGACACACGGCGGGUGCUAACGUCCGUCGUGAAGAGGGAAACAACCCAGACCGCCAGCUAAGGUCCCAAAGUCAUGGUUAAGUGGGAAACGAUGUGGGAAGGCCCAGACAGCCAGGAUGUUGGCUUAGAAGCAGCCAUCAUUUAAAGAAAGCGUAAUAGCUCACUGGUCGAGUCGGCCUGCGCGGAAGAUGUAACGGGGCUAAACCAUGCACCGAAGCUGCGGCAGCGACGCUGAUGCGUUGUUGGGUAGGGGAGCGUUCUGUAAGCCUGCGAAGGUGUGCUGUGAGGCAUGCUGGAGGUAUCAGAAGUGCGAAUGCUGACAUAAGUAACGAUAAAGCGGGUGAAAAGCCCGCUCGCCGGAAGACCAAGGGUUCCUGUCCAACGUUAAUCGGGGCAGGGUGAGUCGACCCCUAAGGCGAGGCCGAAAGGCGUAGUCGAUGGGAAACAGGUUAAUAUUCCUGUACUUGGUGUUACUGCGAAGGGGGGACGGAGAAGGCUAUGUUGGCCGGGCGACGGUUGUCCCGGUUUAAGCGUGUAGGCUGGUUUUCCAGGCAAAUCCGGAAAAUCAAGGCUGAGGCGUGAUGACGAGGCACUACGGUGCUGAAGCAACAAAUGCCCUGCUUCCAGGAAAAGCCUCUAAGCAUCAGGUAACAUCAAAUCGUACCCCAAACCGACACAGGUGGUCAGGUAGAGAAUACCAAGGCGCUUGAGAGAACUCGGGUGAAGGAACUAGGCAAAAUGGUGCCGUAACUUCGGGAGAAGGCACGC
rnacentral:rRNA from 1 species